rfam:Strongylocentrotus purpuratus Contig100442_fixed, whole genome shotgun sequence.
GGAGUGUUGGCUCAGUCAAUAGAGCGUCCGCCUCACAACCGGGAGGUCGUGGGUUCGAUCCCCGGUCGCGUCA